rnacentral:rRNA from 1 species
GACGAACGCUGGCGGCGUGCCUAAUACAUGCAAGUAGAACGCUGAAGGAGGAGCUUGCUUCUCCGGAUGAGUUGCGAACGGGUGAGUAACGCGUAGGUAACCUGCCUGGUAGCGGGGGAUAACUAUUGGAAACGAUAGCUAAUACCGCAUAAGAGUAGAUGUCGCAUGACAUUUGCUUAAAAGGUGCAACUGCACCACUACCAGAUGGACCUGCGUUGUAUUAGCUAGUUGGUGAGGUAACGGCUCACCAAGGCAACGAUACAUAGCCGACCUGAGAGGGUGAUCGGCCACACUGGGACUGAGACACGGCCCAGACUCCUACGGGAGGCAGCAGUAGGGAAUCUUCGGCAAUGGACGCAAGUCUGACCGAGCAACGCCGCGUGAGUGAAGAAGGUUUUCGGAUCGUAAAGCUCUGUUGUAAGAGAAGAACGAGUGUGAGAGUGAAAAGUUCACACUGUGACGGUAUCUUACCAGAAAGGGACGGCUAACUACGUG